UGGAUGGAACCUGAGUUCCUGGGGCACCAGUUGGAGAAGAGCCUCCUAGGAGAGCACCCACCUAAGUGCUUCAGCUUGCUGAGCUUGAGUUCUGCCUGAUCACUACCUGUAAUGACACAUGGAGCUGUGAGAAUUAGAUGAGCAAAGCAAGACCUCCAUGCACAUGGAGUGUAUAGAAGACACCUCACCAAUUUUCUGACUCAUUAUCAUUGUUGCUGUUGUAAUAUCUGAACAGCAGUUAAAUUUAAUGGAUGUUGGGGUUUUACUGCACUUUGUCCCAGCUAUGGCAGCCUCUGGCAGUUGGCUCAAGAAGCAUUGCUUUCUCUGUUUCUUCUCAGCAGCCUGGAUUAAUGCAUUGGUGACACAGAUGGAGGUUGGAAAGGGGUGGUGCAGGGACCCCAAAAAGCCAGGAGAGACAUUAACAGAACAUGGCUCCCGCAGGUUGAUCCUGCCAAGAUGUGGAAGAAAAGUGUUCAAGAGAGUAACAGAAAAUGCAUCCAAAGGGACUCUUCAGGCCAGCAGACGCCAAAGCAUGCCACAAAUGACACCCUCGCGAUCCUGUGCUAAUCAGGAGUUGGAGGGAGGGCUGCCUUUGAAGAAUUAGGAGAGGGGCCAGAAGACA